AGAGUUUGAUCCUGGCUCAGAACGAACGCUGGCGGCGUGCUUAACACAUGCAAGUCGAACGCGAAAGGGACUUCGGUCCUGAGUAAAGUGGCGCACGGGUGAGUAACGCGUGGAUAAUCUACCCAAUGAUCUGGGAUAACAUUUCGAAAGGGGUGCUAAUACCGGAUAAGACCACGGAGUCUCUGGACUCUGCGGUAAAAGGUGGGGACCUUCGGGCCUACCGUCAUCGGAUGAGUCCGCGUACCAUUAGCUAGUUGGUGGGGUAAUGGCCUACCAAGGCUACGAUGGUUAGCUGGUCUGAGAGGAUGAUCAGCCACACUGGAACUGAGACACGGUCCAGACUCCUACGGGAGGCAGCAGUGGGGAAUUUUGCGCAAUGGGGGAAACCCUGACGCAGCAACGCCGCGUGAGUGAUGAAGGCUUUCGGGUCGUAAAGCUCUGUCAGAGGGGAAGAAAUGUAUAGGUGCCAAUACCACGUAUACUUGACGGUACCCUCAAAGGAAGCACCGGCUAACUCCGUGCCAGCAGCCGCGGUAAUAC
rnacentral:rRNA from 1 species